UUAUGGGCCCAGCAAGUCAAGAACAAAUUAAUAUGUAGACAGGGACAAAAAUGUCAGUUUUAUGAUGGAUGAAGGCUAUAAUGGAGCCGAUGGCUUAGGUCCACAAGCAAACAGGCUUGCUGAGGUCCUGCUCCCAUCACUUUUACCCCCUGCAUGUCCCCUCUCCCUUUCAGUCCAAGCCUUGGGGACAUUCUGCAAGAGCGUUUAGUUCUUCAUAACCUCAUAAUGGUCAGAGCCAGAGAAGGGAGUUAAAAGACCGGUUCCUCAAUCUCGUAACCUUUUAAGAGACGGGCUCCACUUGACUUAAAAAUGUGGACCAGUGCUGUCCCCACCACGUAGGUAACACAUCUUUCUUUCACAUCCUCUGGGGGAGUAAGUCUGGAAAGGAUGGGGCAGCCAGAAAAGAACUGAGGUAAUCCAAAAGAAAGUAUUUGGGGACUUCCAGAAGAUUCUCGAGCCAACAAAAAUAUACCCCAAUGCCAAAGCACUCCCUCACUAAAGUCAAUAUGUGAAAAUGUGAAUAUUAUUUUGGAUGCCGUUGUGCUAACCCCAGUGUGUUAAGAACUUCUACGUAUCGUCCUGACAAUGUCCGCGCUUUGAUAACCAAAUCAGAAAAAAAAGAGCGCAGAAACACGUAAUCAUAGAAACCACUAGAUGGAUGCAUAACGCCGGCAGUAGUCUUAAAACACCCCCAAGAAAUGUUGUUCUCAAGUGUGGUUCUCAGCUAACUGUUCCUGCAGGAGGAAAGGAAGACACAAGCUGAUGUACACACACGUUUAGGUCUGUUAUUUCAACGACACGGAUUUGAAUUUGUUGAAAUAUCUUCCAUUGUCCACCAGUCCCCAAAGAAAACAGGAAAACAGGGACCCAGGUUGGCACUCCACCUCAUUUGGCCUAUGCUUUUGUGAAAUCAUAGACUUUUCGAGCUGGAAAAUUCACAGGGUCGCUUUGCUCUGUUUUUCAUUUUGUAGAGAAGAAACUUGAGGCCGAGAAGCACUCUGUGUGCUCAGGCCUCAGAGCUCCUUAGGAGCACGACCCAGGCUCUUUCUUGGGCUGCUGGAAACUGAAUGCUUCUGCAGCACCUUAACAUCGUAUGAAUAACUUGUAAAAUGUAUACAUACAUGGAGCAUGGGUGCCGUAGAAAAGAUCAUCUAUAUCCUAGUACCCAAAUAAAUCAUUGUUUUCAUCUUUU